rnacentral:lncRNA from 1 species
ACUACUGGAAAGGUUCCUUCGAUGUGGAACCUGUUUUGCUAACACGCAUAUCAGCGGAAGGUUUUCUAUUUUGGUAAAAGCAAGUUCUUGUUCUGAACCUUUUAAGCUCCAUCAAGACAAGCUGUACCUGAAUGGAAUGUGCCAGAAGAAGAGGAGGA